AGAGUUUGAUCAUGGCUCAGAUUGAACGCUGGCGGCAGGCUUAACACAUGCAAGUCGAACGGUAGCAGGAGAAAGCUUGCUUUCUUGCUGACGAGUGGCGGACGGGUGAGUAAUGCUUGGGAAUCUGGCUUAUGGAGGGGGAUAACGACGGGAAACUGUCGCUAAUACCGCGUAUUAUCGGAAGAUGAAAGUGCGGGACUGAGAGGCCGCAUGCCAUAGGAUGAGCCCAAGUGGGAUUAGGUAGUUGGUGGGGUAAAGGCCUACCAAGCCUGCGAUCUCUAGCUGGUCUGAGAGGAUGACCAGCCACACUGGAACUGAGACACGGUCCAGACUCCUACGGGAGGCAGCAGUGGGGAAUAUUGCGCAAUGGGGGGAACCCUGACGCAGCCAUGCCGCGUGAAUGAAGAAGGCCUUAGGGUUGUAAAGUUCUUUCGGUAUUGAGGAAGGUUGAUGUGUUAAUAGCACAUCAAAUUGACGUUAAAUACAGAAGAAGCACCGGCUAACUCCGUGCCAGCAGCCGCGGUAAUACGGAGGGUGCGAGCGUUAAUCGGAAUAACUGGGCGUAAAGGGCACGCAGGCGGUUAUUUAAGUGAGGUGUGAAAGCCCUGGGCUUAACCUGGGAAUUGCAUUUCAGACUGGGUAACUAGAGUACUUUAGGGAGGGGUAGAAUUCCACGUGUAGCGGUGAAAUGCGUAGAGAUGUGGAGGAAUACCGAAGGCGAAGGCAGCCCCUUGGGAAUGUACUGACGCUCAUGUGCGAAAGCGUGGGGAGCAAACAGGAUUAGAUACCCUGGUAGUCCACGCUGUAAACGCUGUCGAUUUGGGGGUUGGGGUUUAACUCUGGCGCCCGUAGCUAACGUGAUAAAUCGACCGCCUGGGGAGUACGGCCGCAAGGUUAAAACUCAAAUGAAUUGACGGGGGCCCGCACAAGCGGUGGAGCAUGUGGUUUAAUUCGAUGCAACGCGAAGAACCUUACCUACUCUUGACAUCCUAAGAAGAGCUCAGAGAUGAGCUUGUGCCUUCGGGAACUUAGAGACAGGUGCUGCAUGGCUGUCGUCAGCUCGUGUUGUGAAAUGUUGGGUUAAGUCCCGCAACGAGCGCAACCCUUAUCCUUUGUUGCCAGCGA
rnacentral:rRNA from 1 species